rnacentral:lncRNA from 1 species
AUGCAUGACCAGAGGCAUCCAUGUUUCAGAUGGAAAAAUGGGAGAUAUGUCCUGAAAAAGAAGAGGAGGAGGAAGAAUGACUGUAAAGAAAGCAUUGCACAUUACGUGAGAAGCUACUGUGUGCUAGGUGCUCUUCGAAGAUGCUGUGCCAUCAUGGCGAGCACGGCAGAGCCCUGGCUGUCCCUGCAGGGUUCAGAUAAAACCUACAGCUGGAAGAAGGUGAAACAUCAAGAAUGAAAUGGUAUUUAAGAGGUUUAGAACAUCCAGAAAACAGAUGCUUCUUUUUCCACAUGAAUAUGCAAUUUUUAAAACAAUAAAAGC